AGGAUAAACGUUGGCGGCGUGCCUAAUGCAUGCAAGUCGCACGAGGGCUUCGGCCCUAGUGGCGGACGGGUGAGUAACACGUACGAAUCUGCCCGGAGGUGGGGGACAACUUCCCGAAAGGGAAGCUAAUACCGCAUACGGUCUACGGACCAAAGCCGAAAGGCGCCACCGGAGGAGCGUGCGGCGGAUUAGCUUGUUGGUGAGGUAACGGCUCACCAAGGCGACGAUCCGUAGCUGGUCUGAGAGGACGAUCAGCCACACUGGGACUGAGACACGGCCCAGACUCCUACGGGAGGCAGCAGUGGGGAAUCUUGCCCAAUGGGCGAAAGCCUGAGGCAGCGACGCCGCGUGCGGGAAGAAGGCCUUCGGGUUGUAAACCGC
rnacentral:rRNA from 1 species